UAAUAUUCCCGUACUUGGUGUUACUGCGAAGGGGGGACGGAGAAGGCUAUGUUGGCCGGGCGACGGUUGUCCCGGUUUAAGCGUGUAGGUGUGUGUUCCAGGUAAAUCCGGUUCACUUUAACACUGAGGCGUGACGACGAGGCACUACGGUGCUGAAGCAACAAAUGCCCUGCUUCCAGGAAAAGCCUCUAAGCAUCAGGUAACACGAAAUCGUACCCCAAACCGACACAGGUGGUCAGGUAGAGAAUACCAAGGCGCUUGAGAGAACUCGGGUGAAGGAACUAGGCAAAAUGGUGCCGUAACUUCGGGAGAAGGCACGCUGACACGUAGGUGAAGUGAUUUACUCAUGGAGCUGAAGUCAGUCGAAGAUACCAGCUGGCUGCAACUGUUUAUUAAAAACACAGCACUGUGCAAACACGAAAGUGGACGUAUACGGUGUGACGCCUGCCCGGUGCCGGAAGGUUAAUUGAUGGGGUCAGCGCAAGCGAAGCUCCUGAUCGAAGCCCCGGUAAACGGCGGCCGUAACUAUAACGGUCCUAAGGUAGCGAAAUUCCUUGUCGGGUAAGUUCCGACCUGCACGAAUGGCGUAAUGAUGGCCAGGCUGUCUCCACCCGAGACUCAGUGAAAUUGAACUCGCUGUGAAGAUGCAGUGUACCCGCGGCAAGACGGAAAGACCCCGUGAACCUUUACUAUAGCUUGACACUGAACAUUGAGCCUUGAUGUGUAGGAUAGGUGGGAGGCUUUGAAGCGUGGACGCCAGUCUGCGUGGAGCCGACCUUGAAAUACCACCCUUUAAUGUUUGAUGUUCUAACGUGGACCCGUGAUCCGGGUUGCGGACAGUGUCUGGUGGGUAGUUUGACUGGGGCGGUCUCCUCCUAAAGAGUAACGGAGGAGCACGAAGGUUGGCUAAUCCUGGUCGGACAUCAGGAGGUUAGUGCAAUGGCAUAAGCCAGCUUGACUGCGAGCGUGACGGCGCGAGCAGGUGCGAAAGCAGGUCAUAGUGAUCCGGUGGUUCUGAAUGGAAGGGCCAUCGCUCAACGGAUAAAAGGUACUCCGGGGAUAACAGGCUGAUACCGCCCAAGAGUUCAUAUCGACGGCGGUGUUUGGCACCUCGAUGUCGGCUCAUCACAUCCUGGGGCUGAAGUAGGUCCCAAGGGUAUGGCUGUUCGCCAUUUAAAGUGGUACGCGAGCUGGGUUUAGAACGUCGUGAGACAGUUCGGUCCCUAUCUGCCGUGGGCGCUGGAGAACUGAGGGGGGCUGCUCCUAGUACGAGAGGACCGGAGUGGACGCAUCACUGGUGUUCGGGUUGUCAUGCCAAUGGCACUGCCCGGUAGCUAAAUGCGGAAGAGAUAAGUGCUGAAAGCAUCUAAGCACGAAACUUGCCCCGAG
rnacentral:rRNA from 1 species